CUUUGCUGAACAUUAUUGCUGUUUACAGUUAAUCUCUAUCUAUAAUAAUAUUCAAGAUAAUAACCAAAAACAGUAAAAUUUUCUUAAAAUUACCAAUUUAGGGGCAGCAACCCAACAACGGGUUGUUGGAUUCAUCUGAAAAUUUGAAGGCAGAUAGAUCUUGACCUGAUUAACAAUUUUACCCAUUGUCAGAUUUGCUCUAAAUGCUUUGGUUUUUUAGUUAUAAGCCAAAAACUGCAUUUUACCCCUAUGUUCUAUUUUUAGCCAUGGCGGCCAUCUUGGUUGGUUGGCCGGGUCACGCCACACAUUUUUUUAAACAUGUUACCCCUAUGAUGAUUGUGGCCAAGUUUAGUUUAAUUUGGCCCAGUAGUUUCAGAGAAGAAGAUUUUUGUAAAAGAUUACUAAGAUUUACGAAAAAAUGGUUAAAAAUUGACUAUAAAGGGCAAUAACUCCUAAAGGGGUCAACUGACCAUUUUGGUCAUGCUGAUUUAUUUGUAAAUCUUACUUUGCUGAACAUUAUUGCUGUUUACAGUUUAUCUCUAUC
rnacentral:lncRNA from 1 species